UACGGAGGGUGCAAGCGUUAUCCGGAUUCACUGGGUUUAAAGGGUGCGUAGGAGGGCAGGUAAGUCAGUGGUGAAAUCCCCGAGCUUAACUUGGGGAACUGCCGUUGAUACUAUCUGUCUUGAAUGUUGUGGAGGUGAGCGGAAUAUGUCAUGUAGCGGUGAAAUGCUUAGAUAUGACAUAGAACACCAAUUGCGAAGGCAGCUCGCUAACACAAUUAUUGACUCUGAUG
rnacentral:rRNA from 1 species